rnacentral:rRNA from 1 species
GGCGGCGUGCUUAACACAUGCAAGUCGAGUGCGCGCUUCGGUAGCAAUACUGGAGUGGCGCACGGCGCACGGGUGCGUAACACGUGGGUAAUCUGCCCUUCGAUGGGGAAUAACCUCGCGAAAGCGAGGCUAAUUCCGCAUAACAUUCCGAGGAUUUCGGUUCUUGGAUUCAAAGGAGUAAUUCGUCGGAGGAGGAGCCCGCGCACGAUUAGCUAGUUGGUAGGGUAAUGGCCUACCAAGGCUUUGAUCGUUAGCUGGUCUGAGAGGAUGGCCAGCCACACUGGAACUGAGACACGGUCCAGACUCCUACGGGAGGCAGCAGUGGGGAAUCUUGCACAAUGGGCGAAAGCCUGAUGCAGCGACGCCGCGUGGGGGAUGAAGCAUUUCGGUGUGUNAACCCCUUUCGACCCGGACGAAUGCCUCGCAAGANGACUGACGGUACGGGUAUAAGAAGCCCCGGCUAACUACGUGCCAGCAGCCGCGGUAAGACGU